rnacentral:rRNA from 1 species
UCGGAUCGGAGUCUGCAACCCGACUCCGUGAAGCUGGAUUCGCUAGUAAUCGCGCAUCAGCCAUGGCGCGGUGAAUACGUUCCCGGGCCUUGUACACACCGCCCGUCAAGCCAUGGGAGCCGGGGGUGCUUGAAGUGCGUCGCCGCAAGGCGCGCCCUAGAGCAAAACCGGUGACUGGGGCUAAGUCGUAACAAGGUACC